rnacentral:rRNA from 1 species
UACAGAGGUCCCGAGCGUUGUUCGGAUUCACUGGGCGUAAAGGGUGCGUAGGUGGUGAGGUAAGUCGGAUGUGAAAUCUCCAGGCUCAACCUGGAAACGGCAUUGGAAACUACCUUGCUAGAGGUUUUGAGGGGGGACUGGAAUUCUCGGUGUAGCAGUGAAAUGCGUAGAUAUCGAGAGGAACACCAGUGGCGAAGGCGAGUCCCUGGAAAACACCUGACACUGAGGCACGAAAGCUAGGGGAGCAAACAGG